CUUACCAACACUCUCUCCAGGCAGGACUCACGGAGGACGUCCAUGUCCUCCAGGGAGCCUAAAUGCUCACGCUGCAGGUUCCUCUAAUUUAUUUCUGCUUUCUGCCAUGCUAGCCCCGCGAAGUCUUUCCUUUAUUCCACGCGUCUUUCUCUGCCACCCCUCUUGAUCUGACCUUCCCUGCAAACCGAGUUAGGAGAGUGUGCAGUUAUGAGUAACACCCUCAGCACUGAUGAUUUUAAAUAAAACAGCAAUCAGCUGUGAAACCCACUGAAGAUGUUCUGUGCUCCACUGUAUCAAACAUCCAGUUGCCAUUGAAUGGUGUGCUAAUAUAAACACAGCCAUCUCAUUGUGUCAGGACAGAAGUCUAUCUUGCCCUUCAGAGCUCCUCAAAGUGCUUGUUUGCAGUAAGAAAUAUCCAAGGCUUCCGGGGCAGCACUCCAGCGCUAAACAUGAUUCCACAUGUGUUGUGAGUUAGCCUGCUACUGUCGGUGUAAACGUUUGCCGUUCUGAAAUGCACCAGUGAAAGCCAGCAGCCUCCUUCUGGAAAUUUAACGGAGUGCAAAGACAGAAGAAGAUCGCGACAGACCCAAGAGGUGACAGACGUAGAGGAACCUCGGUGGAGAACUGCUUCAUAAAAAGCCACCGCAGGGACACCAGAAGGGCACAUGUGACCACCUGGCAGGGAUUCAAACCCUUCUUCGCAGUCAGCCCCUAUUCACCCACUCGUUUUACAGUCCUUUACUGCCAAAGGACUAGCCCAUGCCAAGGAAGAUGGGACCGAAGGCUGGUGUGAGUGCCUGUAGACAGGCAGGCAGGCGGGGAGAGGCUGAUGGGGUGGCUCAUUGACACUACACUCAAGCAAGCCAUAAAGUAGAAAUGGAGCCGGGAAGUGCUCCACCGAAGACAUAAUAGAGAGAUGCA